CUGCGUGUUGCUGAAACACACUGGAUACAUAUGUAAACGUGUGUGUGUGUGUGUUUUAUCACUGAUGUGUGUGUGUGUGUGUGUUACGGUGUAAGAUGCCGGUGUCUCGGCUGCUCGGUACCGGGCUGAGCUCCGGAUUCAGCGCGCGGGUUUAUAGUAACAUUAAUAACUUUAUUAUUAACAAGAAUUUACAAAAUAAGAAGCCGAGCCGGAGUGUGUCGGGGCUCAGAGACACCACACACACUCACACUGCACACACUCACACCACACACACUCACACUGCACACACUACACACACUCACACUGUACACACUCACACUGCACACACUCACAGCGGAAGUGUGUGUGUCGCGGAGAGAGAGGUGCGGGUCCGAUUCGCCCCCAGUCCCACCGGGUUUCUACACCUGGGCGGUUUGCGUACGGCGCUCUAUAACUUCCUGUUUGCGAAGCAGCAUGGCGGGACGUUUAUCCUGCGGCUGGAGGACACGGAUCGAUCACGCAUCGUACACGGAGCAGCACAGGACAUCGAACACACGCUCGAGUGGGCGGGUAUUCCCCCUGAUGAGAGUGUAUCUAGAGGAGGUGUGUAUGGUCCGUAUGUCCAGUCUGAGCGUUUGAGUUUGUAUUCUGCUGCUGCGACGUCUCUGAUAGAAUCAGGCCACGCCUACUACUGCUUCUGCACCAAUCACAGAUUAGAGCUGCUCAAGAAGGAAGCACUGCGCAGAGGACAGACACCACGGUAUGAUAACAGGUGCAGGCACCUACAUGCUGAUCAGGUGCAGGAGAACCUGGCUGAGGGUAAACCCCACGCUGUUCGUUUUCGUCUCCAUCCGGAGGCGGAGCCGUUUGAGGACCUGGUGUUUGGUUGGACGGGGCACGCGGUGGGGGAGGUCGAGGGCGACCCUGUGAUCCUGAAGAACGACGGAUUCCCCACCUAUCACCUGGCCAACGUGGUCGAUGACGCACACAUGCACGUGAGCCAUGUUCUGCGUGGUGCUGAGUGGCUCACCUCCACCUGUAAACACCUGCAGCUCUACCGUGCCCUGCACAUGACUCCGCCCACCUAUGCUCACCUGCCGCUACUACUGAACCCAGACGGAACCAAACUGUCCAAACGGCAGGGCGACAUUUACAUCUCACACUUCAGACAGCAGGGAGCGCUGCCCGAGGCACUGCUCGACCUCAUCACUAACUGCGGCUCCGGGUUCAACAGUAAUCGUAUUGGCCGAAAUCUGAAUGAGCUGAUCAGUGAAUUUAACGUCUCAAAAAUCGUGACGCACUCGGCUGUGCUCGAUCUCAGCAAACUCCCAGAAUUCAACAGGGUUCACCUGCAGCAGCGUAUUGAGGAUGAGCUUCAGAGUCGCCUCCUGGUGGACGAAGUGAGGAAUCUCCUCACACUCACUUACAGAGAUCAGAUACAGGAACAGGAAGUUCUGGAUCACAAUUACAUCCUCAGAGUUCUGCACAUGAGGAAGCGUCAUAUCUCGUCAGUGAAAGACCUGCUCUCUCCCAUGUACUCGUACCUGUGGCUCCGCCCCUCCGUAUCCCGGCAACAACUGGAGGAGAUGAGCUCUGAAUCACAUGACAUCAUCACUCACGUCAUGCUGGUAAUUAAAGGAUGUAAUGGUGAAUACACUCCCGAGUUCCUCACAGCUGAACUGAAGCUCAUCGCCAAAAAACUAAAGAAAACCAAAUACAGUUCAGUUAUGAAGUUACUGAGACUUGCUCUGACUGGACAACAGCUGCUCCCGUUAGGGGUGGUUACCGCAGGUCAUUGGUCCGCAUAUCUGAUUUGGCACGGUGUUUACGCCGGAUGUCCUUCCUGACGCAACCCUCCCCGGUUUUAUCCGGGCUUCAGACCGGCACUGUUAUGUGCUGGGGUCGGUUCCCUGGCGGGCCCCAGUGUGGGUGAGAUCAUGGUCUCUCUCGGUGAGGAUGAGGUUUGUUGUCGCCUACAGAGGAUUUUAGAAGAGUAACUCUAGAACCCUGCCUGUUUUGGAGAGCUGUAGAACCCUGCCUGUUUUGGAGAGCUCUAGAACCCUGCCUGUUUUGGAGGGCUCUAGAACCCUGGCAGACUCGGUGAUUUUGGGAAACUCUUUGAGGACUGUUCUGAUUGAGCUGCAUUUUUCUUUGUCUUGUACAAAAUAAAAAUGUGUUUGAUGUGUAAACAA